UACCCGCAGCACAAGUGGUGGUCAUUAUUAUUGGGCCUAAAGCGUCCGUAGCUGGCUUGUUAGAUGCCUGGGUAAAUCGAUGCGCUUAACGCAUCGAACUCCGGGUAGACCGGCAAGCUCGAGACCGGGAGAGGUGUAGGGUACUCGGGGGGUAGGGGUAAAAUCCUGUAAUCCUCCGGGGACGACCAGUGGCGAAGGCGCUACACUAGAACGGCUCUGACAGUGAGGGACGAAGCCCUGGGGCGCAAACCGG
rnacentral:rRNA from 1 species